GUCGAGAAUUUUUCACAAUGGGGGAAACCCUGAUGGAGCGACGCCGCGUGGAGGAUGAAGGCCCUCGGGUUGUGAACUCCUGUCAUGCGGGAACAAGAAAGUGAAAGUACCGCAAGAGGAAGAGACGGCUAACUCUGUGCCAGCAGCCGCGGUAAUACAGAGGUCUCAAGCGUUGUUCGGAUUCAUUGGGCGUAAAGGGUGCGUAGGUGGCGAUGCAAGUCUGGUGUGAAAUCUCGGAGCUCAACUCCGAAAUUGCACCGGAUACUGCGUUGCUAGAGGAUUGUAGAGGAGAGUGGAAUUCACGGUGUAGCAGUGAAAUGCGUAGAUAUCGUGAGGAAGACCAGUUGCGAAGACGACUCUCUGGGCAAUUCCUGACACUGAGGCACGAAGGCCAGGGGAGCAAACGGGAUUAGAUACCCCUGUAGUCC
rnacentral:rRNA from 1 species